UUUCACUUCAAGAUCUAUACUUUAAUUUAUGUCAAAAUAAUAUAUUGUAAUAUUGCACCGUUAAUAAAUAACAACAAUUUCUAGAUACCCUUAGAAAUAUUGACCUACAUAUCAUAUCUCAAGGUACUAUUCUGACAUAAAUUGAACUAUAGACCUUGAAGUGAA
rnacentral:pre_miRNA from 1 species